GCGUUACAGUUGAAAUUGUUCAGUGAAUUUACAUUGUAACGUGGCGAUACAGAAUCGUUACAUGAAUUGACAGUAGAAUAUUCUGGAAUAAUUAUUCACGAUUCGCCGAUUACAAAAUACCUACGAUCUUCACUGUAAAUUGAAGUGGUGCCUAUUAGGGAAAACACAUUUCGCACGGAAGGAUGACGAUGCACAGAAUUUCCGGAACUAAUACAAAUUAUGUGUAUAAUUUUGAUUGACGGGGGCCAUUGCCGCCGACAAAUUCGGAGUACAUUACACGUGAUGCAUGAUCCUCUGCACAAAGUAGGAAACAGUUUAAGGGGAGAUCGGCAUCUCGGAAUAUUAGAAGGGUUUACACGAAUGCAGAACAUUUUUUUGAACGGAUUUCCGGCUGUGC